AAAGUGGGCAAAGGACAUGAAUAGACAUUUCUCAAAAGAAGAUAUACACAUGGCCAAUAAAUAUAAGAAAAAAUGCUCAACAUCACUAAUCAUCAGGAAAAUGCAAAUUAAAGCCACAGUGAGAUACCACCUUAUCACAGCCAGAAAGGCCAUUAUUAAAAAGUCAAAAAACAGUAGAUGCUGAUAUGGAUAUGGUGAAAAACAUGUACACAGCUGGUGGGAGGGUAAAUCAGUACAACCAUUAUGGAAAAUAGUAUGAAGAUUUCUUAAAGAACUAAAAGCAGAUCUACCAUUCAAUCCAGCAACCCCCCUACUGGGUAUCUACCCAAAGGAAAAUAAGUCAUUAUAUCAAAAAGACAUCUAUAUGAUAUUUAUCACAGCAUAAUUGUUGGGACACAGGCUACCCCAGGGAACCUUAUCAGCUCAUCUGAACCCUGUGUGUUGUGCAUCUGUCCAACCACAUACUCCUGAGCGCCAGACUCUGUUCUAGGGGGUGAGGAUAUACAAAUGUGCAGGGUUAAUGUUUAGUUUCCUCACACGUUUCAACUCCCUUCUUUUGAAGGAGGAUCCCAAUGCUGGGAGAUGGAUCAGGAACAGGGCUCAUUCUAGGUCCCAUAAUCCCUUUCAAAGCACUAGGCUGAGAGGUCUAAGCAUCAAGAGGCCCCUCAGUGGCUGUCCUGUGUUCCCUAGAGUUCCUGACCUCAGAGGGCAGAUCUGGCCCCACCCCUGUGCUACCUGCGGAAUCAUGGGCUCAAUUCCUCUGGGGAGGCUGAAACUCCUGCUCCCCCCCACGCCUACCUUCACACACAUCCUAUAACUCCUCUCUUCUUCUCCCUAAAUGGGAACUCAGUGGCAUUGGACAUGACUGGGCAAGGGUGAGUCCCUAUCAGAAUCCUCCGUCUUCUU
rnacentral:lncRNA from 1 species